rnacentral:rRNA from 1 species
UGGAUCCAGACUUUGAUCAUGGCUCAGAACGAACGCUGGCGGCAGGCUUAACACAUGCAAGUCGAACGGGGUUCAUGGAGCUUGCUUUACGAACUUAGUGGCGCACGGGUGAGUAACGCGUGGGGAUCUGUCCUGAGGUACCGGAUAGCUUCUGGAAACGGAAGGUAAGACGGUAUAAGCCCUGAGGGGGAAAUAUUCAUAGCCUUAGGAGGAACCCGCGUUAGAUUAGGCAGUUGGUGAGGUAAGGGCUCACCAAACCGACGAUCUAUAGCCGGUCUGAGAGGAUGAUCGGCCACAUUGGGACCGAGACACGGCCCAAACUCCUACGGGAGGCAGCGGUGGGGAAUAUUGGACAAUGGGGGUUACCCUGAUCCAGCCAUGCCGCGUGAGUGAUGACGGCCUUCGGUUGUAAAGCUCUUUUACAUGGGAAGAUAAUGAAGGUACCAUGAGAAUAAGCACCGGCUAACUUCGUGCCAGCAGCCGCGGUAAUACGAAGGGUGCAAGCGUUGUUCGGAAUUACUGGGUGUAAAGGGCAUGUAGGCGGACGCAAAAGUUAGUGGUGAAAUCCCCGGGCUCAACUUGGGAACUGCCAUUAAAACUGGGUGUCUUGAGGGUUGGAGAGGAUGAUGGAAUAUCCAGUGUAGAGGUGAAAUUCGUAGAUAUUGGAUAGAACACCGGUGGCGAAGGCGAUCAUCUGGCCGAUUACUGACGCUGAGAUGCGAAAGCGUGGGGAGCAAACAGGAUUAGAUACCCUGGUAGUCCACGCUGUAAACGAUGACUGCUGGGUGUUUGCCCUUAGGGGUGAGUGCCAAGUUAACGCGCUAAGCAGUCCACCUGGGGAGUACGGUCGCAAGAUUACAACUCAAAUGAAUUGAC